rnacentral:tRNA from 2 species
GUGCCCAUAGCUCAGUAGGUUAGAGCAUCAGAUUGUGGUUCUGAGGGCCGUGGGUUCGAAUCCCAUUGGGCACC